AUAGGCCUUUUCUACUGCAUACUGCUCCCUCUCACAAAGAGGAAGGGAGCGCCUUUCAUAAACCAAGGGUAUCCCAGGGCCGGCUGUUUUGCCUGAGUCUGGUUUCUGACCCAGUGGUUGGAGCAGUAGGCAACGAAGGGCUACGGCUUCCUGGGCUGCUCCGGCUGUGGUCACCCCUGGGGAGGAGAGGGGGCUGCAGCCUGUCACAGGCCCUGGGAUCUUUAGGGAUCUAAGAGCACUCCGCCUUUCCCUUCUUUCCCUCGAUGAUCACAAACACCUCUCUCCUCCCUGCACAGGCCCAGCAGUUUCUCUCCCUUAGAGGGGAAAAAGGCUGUGCCGUUUUGACUGAUAUGGGGCCUUUCCUCCCUUAGAAUCCUAUUAAUCCCAGCAAGACCCUGUGUCGCCCCAGCUCCACCUUAGGACAGUCCAGGUGGACCAGACACGUGUCUGCUGGGAACAGAGAACAAAACAUAAAUAAAACAAAAUCUCAUCACCUGUGAAGUAUUGUCAUUCCAGGACUUUAUCUCAAGAUUCAUCAGCAUCCUAGAAUUUGCAACUACAAGGCACCUGAGAGACCAUUUAGGUGGUCCUAAUUUCACAUAUGUGUGAAUGAGGACUGUAUUAGCACUUUUUUAGAAAAAAAGUCAAGAAGGAGAGGCUUAGGUCUAUGCUUGUUCUCCAAAGACACCCCGAGCACUGUUCAAUAAUCCCACUGAAAGGCA